CAUCCAAAAGGGUCUUUUUCGUGGCAUCUCGCUCAAGCUGCAGGAGGAAGAAUGAGCGCGAGUCAUGCAUGGACUUCGUGCCCUACAUCUCUACCAUCAACAUCGACCACACCGUGGUCAACAAGGAAACCCUUGAAAUGCUCCACAACAUUGGAUUCAACUACCUUCCUGGCUUCAUCAGGUCUAUAUUCGAGCGUUCGUGGAGGUUGAGGUGAAUCACCUUGUGGUUGAUUUCAGCCAUUUCAACGGGAUUUGUGAGUCGAAGCUGAGGUGUUCGUGAGGAGGUGGAAUUGAGGUUCUUGACACAACUAAGUUGUGGAGCUGAGAGGGUGAGAUGUUUGAUUUCUUGGCACAACCUUUGUGAAUG